rnacentral:rRNA from 1 species
CCCGGUUUUUUUUCUUAUGAGUAAGCGGCGGACGGGUGAGUAAUAUAUGGGAAUCUGCCUGGUAGUGGGGGACAACGUUUCGAAAGGAACGCUAAUACCGCAUACGCCCUACGGGGGAAAGGGGGGGAUCUUCCGACCUCUCGCUAUCAGAUGAGCCCAUGUCGGAUUCCCUAGUUGGUGGGGUAAAGGCUCACCAAGGCGACUAUCCGUAACUGGUCUGACAGGAUGAUCAGUCACACUGGAACUGAAACACGGUCCAGACUCCUACGGAAGGCAGCAGUGGGGAAUAUUGGACAAUGGGCGCAGGCCUGAUCCAGCCAUGCCGCGUGAGUGAAGAAGGCCUUAGGGUUGUAAAGCCCUUUCCUUGGGAAGAAAGGUCAUUCACCUAAUACCUGAGUGACUUGAUGAUACCCACAGAAGAAGCACCGGCUAACUCCGUGCCAGCAGCCGCGGUAAU